AUUAACGCUAGCGGCAGGCCUAAUACAUGCAAGUCGAGGGGGUAACAGGGUAGCAAUACCGCUGACGACCGGCGCACGGGUGCGUAACACGUAUGCAACUUACCUAUAACUGGGGAAUAGCUCUCCGAAAGGAGAAUUAACACCGCAUAAUAUCACGAGAUGGCAUCAUUUUGUGAUCAAACCUCCGGGGGUUAUAGAUAGGCAUGCGUAACAUUAGCUAGUUGGUGAGGGUAACGGCUCACCAAGGCGACGAUGUUUAGGGGGUCUGAGAGGAUGAUCCCCCACACUGGUACUGAGACACGGACCAGACUCCUACGGGAGGCAGCAGUAAGGAAUAUUGGACAAUGGGGGCAACCCUGAUCCAGCCAUGCCGCGUGAAGGAUGAAGGCGCUCUGCGUCGUAAACUUCUUUUGCUCGGGAAAAAUUGUUGGGUUUCUACCUGACUUGAUUGUACCGAGAGAAUAAGGAUCGGCUAACUUCGUGCCAGCAGCCGCGGGUAAUACGAAGGAUCCAAGCGUUAUCCGGAUUUAUUGGGUUUAAAGGGUGCGUAGGCGGCUUAUUAAGUCAGUGGUGAAAGCUCCAUGCUUAACAUGGAAAUUGCCAUUGAUACUGAUGAGCUUGAGUACACUUGAAGUGGGCGGAAUAUGUCAUGUAGAGGUGAAAUUCUUAGAGAUGACAUAGAACACCGAUUGCGAAGGCAGCUCACUAAAUUGUAACUGACGCUGAGGCACGAAAGCGUGGGGAUCAAACAGGAUUAGAUACCCUGGUAGUCCACGCCCUAAACGAUGAUUACUAGAUGUGUGCAAUAUACCGUACGCGUCACAGCUAAAGCGUUAAGUAAUCCACCUGGGGGAGUACGGCCGCAAGGCUGAAACUCAAAGGAAUUGACGGGGGCCCGCACAAGCGGAGGAGCAUGUGGUUUAAUUCGAUGAUACGCGAGGAACCUUACCAGGGCUUGAAAGUUAGUGAAUGAUUUAGAAAUAGGUCAGCAAGCAAUUGCACGAAACUAGGUGCUGCAUGGCCGUCGUCAGCUCGUGCCGUGAGGUGUUGGGUUAAGUCCCGCAACGAGCGCAACCCCUAUCAUUAGUUGCCAACAGGUCAAGCUGGGGACUCUAAUGAGACUGCCCGCGUAAGCGGUGAGGAAGGUGGGGAUGACGUCAGGUCAUCACGGCCCUUACGUCCUGGGCUACACACGUGCUACAAUGGUAAAUACAGAGGGCAGCUACUUGGUAACAAGAUGCUAAUCCUUAAAGUCUAUCUCAGUUCGGAUCGAGGUCUGCAACCCGACCUCGUGAAGCUGGAUUCGCUAGUAAUCGCAUAUCAGCCAUGAUGCGGUGAAUACGUUUCCCGGGCCUUGUACACACCGCCCGUCAAGCCAUGGAAGUUGGGAGUACCUAAAGUCGGUCACCGCAAGGAGCCGCCUAGGGUAAAACCAAUGACUGGGGCU
rnacentral:rRNA from 1 species